rnacentral:rRNA from 1 species
GUGGGGAAUCUUCCGCAAUGGACGAAAGUCUGACGGAGCAACGCCGCGUGAGUGAAGAAGGUUUUCGGAUCGUAAAGCUCUUUCGUUAGGGACGAACGUGCUCUUUGUGAAUAAUGAGGAGUAAUGACGGUACCUAAAUAAGAAGCCACGGCUAACUACGUGCCAGCAGCCGCGGUAAUACGUAGGUGGCAAGCGUUGUCCGGAAUUAUUGGGCGUAAAGCGCGCGCAAGCGGGAUAUCAAGUCUGUCUUAAAAGUGCGAGGCUCAACCUCGUGAGGGGACAGAAACUGGUAUUCUUGAGUGUCGGAGAGGAAAGUGGAAUUCCAAGUGUAGCGGUGAAAUGCGUAGAGAUUUGGAAGAACACCAGUGGCGAAGGCGACUUUCUGGACGAUGUCUGACGCUGAGGCGCGAAAGCUAGGGGAGCGAACGGGAUUAGAUACCCCUGUAGUCC